rnacentral:rRNA from 1 species
UACAGAGGUGGCAAGCGUUGUUCGGAAUUACUGGGCGUAAAGGGCGCGUAGGCGGUUCGUUAAGUCCUGUGUGAAAUCCCCCGGCUCAACUGGGGAACUGCACAGGAAACUAGCGGGCUUGAGUUCGGGAGAGGGAAGCGGAAUUCCGGGUGUAGCGGUGAAAUGCGUAGAUAUCUGCAGGAACACCCGUGGCGAAAGCGGCGCGCUGGACCACUACUGACGCUGAGGAACGAAAGCUAGGGGAGCAAACAGG